AUUGAACGCUGGCGGUAUGCCUUACACAUGCAAGUCGAACGGUAGAGGGGCAACCCUUGAGAGUGGCGAACGGGUGAGUAAUACAUCGGAACGUGCCCAGUCGUGGGGGGUAAAGUAGCGAAAGCUACGCUAAUACCGCAUACGACCCGAGGGUGAAAGCGGGGGACUCGCAAGGGCCUCGCGCGAUUGGAGCGGCCGAUGGCAGAUUAGGUAGUUGGUGGGGUAAAGGCCCACCAAGCCUGCGAUCUGUAGCUGGUCUGAGAGGACGACCAGCCACACUGGGACUGAGACACGGCGGAGGCUCCUACGGGAGGCACCAGUGGGGAAUUUUGGACAAUGGGCGAAGGCCUGAUCCAGCCAUACCGCGUGCGGGAAGAAGGCCUUCGGGUUGUAAACCGCUUUUGUCAGGGAAGAAAUCUUCUGGGUUAAUACCUCGGGAGGAUGACGGUACCUGAAGAAUAAGCACCGGCUAAUUACGUGCCAGCCGCCGCAGUAAAAC
rnacentral:rRNA from 1 species